GUGCAUUUAGCCCUGCCCAUUGCAUCUAACACAUUCAUGUCAAAUGGAAAUAUACGGACAAAAUAAGAAACAUUGCUGUGUAGAGGAUAACCAUCUUGUUAAAUAAAUAUAAUUUGGAGACACCCCUGAUCGGUUAGCAUAUGCUUUGGAAUAUUCUUAGAACUAUUGCAGUGAAGGAAACCAGGCCAAACUUUGAGAAAUUCUAUGUUUUUUUUUAAUGUCUUUCCCAAUACUAAACAAUUCAAAUAGGUAUUCAAUCU
rnacentral:misc_RNA from 1 species